UAUUUGUGGGUGAAUGAACACCGAAAGUGCAAUCCAAGCUUAUUCGUCCUCCUUCUAUUGAGAUGGAACCAAAACACCUAUGCUUGAAUUGGGAUUAUAACGCACAUUUCACUCUUCGAUUUUUGGGUGAAUGUGCAUUCAAAACCCAAAAACACUAUUUCGAAAUAAGCCCAAUCAGAGCGUUAUCAUCUUUUUAUGUAGAUGGAGGCAAAAACACCUUUUUGCUUUGGUUGGGGUGAUUCUGGUGCACACCCAAAAAACACCAUGCGAAUUGAAAUAAGCCCAAUCAAAGCUUAUUCUUCUUUCUAUGCUAUGGUAGCGGAAAGAUGAUGUUUUGUUAUUUUGGUCUCAUUAAAUACACUUUGCAAUUUCUGGGUCAAUGUGCAUUAAAAGCAAAGAACACGACUUUGAAAUAAGCGAAAUCCAAGAUGCCUCUUUCUAUGUAGAUGGAACUCAAAACAACCUGUUUUGCUUUGUUUAGGCUUAUUACACUUCGCUCUGUUAUUUGUGGGUGAAUGAACACCAAAAGUGCAAUUCAAGCUUUUUCGUCGUCCUUCUAUUGAGGUGGAACCAAAACACCUAUGCUUGAUUUGGGCUGAAAAACAUUUCACUGCGAUUUUUGGGUGAAUAUGCAUUAUAACCCCAAAAACACCAAUUUGAAAUAAGCCCAAUCAGAGCGUUAUCAUCUUCUUUUUAUGUAGAUGGAAGCCAAAACACCUUUUUGUUUUGGUUGGGGUGAUUCUGGUGCACACCCAAAAAACACCAUGCGAAUUGAAAUAAGCCCAAUCGAAGCUUAUUCGUCUUCUUUCUACGCAUAUGGAAGCGGAAAUAUGGUGUUUUUGUUAUUUUGGUCUCAUUAAAUACACUUUGCGAUUACUGGGUAAAUGUGCAUUAACAACAAAGAACCCGACGUUGAAAUAAGUGAAAGCCAAGAUUCUUCUUUCUAUGUAGAUGGAACCCCAAAUAACCUGUUUUGCUUUGUUUGGGCUUAUUACACUUCGCUUUCUUAUUUGUGGGUGAAUGAACACCGAAAGUGCAAUCCAAGCUUAUACGUCCUCCUUCUAUUGAGAUGGAACCAAAACACCUAUGUUUGAUUUGUGCUGAUAACAAAUUUCCCUCUGCGAUUUUUGGGUCCAUGUGCAUUCUAACCCCAAAAACACCAAUUUGAAAUAAGCCCAAUCAGAGCGUUAUCAUCUUCCUUUUAUGUAGAUGCAUGCCAAAACACCUUUUUGCUUUGGUUGGGGUGAUUCUGGUGCACCUCCAAAAAACACCAUGCGAAUUGAAAUAAGCCCAAUCAAAGCUUAUUCUUCUUUCUACGCUAUGGAAGCGGAAAUAUGGUGUUUUUGUUAUUUUGGUCUCAUUAAAUACACUUUGCGAUUACUGGGUAAAUGUGCAUUAACAACAAAGAACACGACGUUGAAAUAAGUGAAAGCCAAGAUUCUUCUUUCUAUGUAGAUGGAACCCCAAAUAACCUGUUUUGCUUUGUUUGGGCUUAUUACACUUCGCUUUCUUAUUUGUGGGUGAAUGAACACCGAAAGUGCAAUCCAAGCUUAUACGUCCUCCUUCUAUUGAGAUGGAACCAAAACACCUAUGUUUGAUUUGUGCUGAUAACAAAUUUCCCUCUGCGAUUUUUGGAAGCAUAUGCAUUGUAACCCCAAAAACACCGAUUUGAAAUAUGCCCAAUGAGAGCGUUAUCAUCUUCUUUUUAUGUAGAUGGAAGCCAAAACACCUUUUUGCUUUGGUUGGGGUGAUUCUGGUGCACACCCAAAAAACACCAUGCGAAUUGAAAUAAGCCCAAUCAAAGCUUAUUCUUCUUCUUUCUACGCAUAUGGAAGCGGAAAGAUGGUGUUUUGUUACUUUGGUCUGAUUAAAUACACUUUGCGAUUUCUGGUCAAUGUGCAUUAAAACCAAAGAAGACGACUUUGAAAUAAGCGAAAUCCAAGAUGCCUCUUUCUAUGUAGAUGGAACUCAAAACAACCUGUUUUGCUUUGUUUAGGCUUAUUCGCUCUGUUAUUUGUGGGUGAAUGAACACCGAAAGUGUAAUCCAAGCUUAUUCGUCCUCCUUCUAUUGAGGUGGAACCAAAACACCUAUGCUUGAGUUGGGCUGAAAAACAUUUCACUCUGCGAUUUUUGGUUGAAUGUGCAUUCUAACCCCAAAAACACCAAUUUGAAAUAAGCCCAAUCAGAGCGUUAUCAUCUUCUUUUUAUGUAGAUGGAUGCCAAAACACCUUUUUGCUUUGGUUGGGGUGAUUCUGGUGCACACCCAAAAAACACCAUGCGAAUUGAAUUAAGCCCAAUCGAAGCUUCUUUGUCUUCUUUCUACGCAUAUGGAAGCGGAAAGAUGGUGUUUUGUUACUUUGGUCUGAUUAAAUACACUUUGCGAUUUCUGGGUAAAUGUGCAUUAAAACCAAAGAACACGACUUUGAAAUAAGCGAAAUCCAAGAGGCCUCUUUCUAUGUAGAUGGAACUCAAAACAACCUGUUUUGCUUUGUUUAGGCUUAUUACACUUCGCUUUGAUAUGUGUGGGUGAAUGAACACCGAAAGUGCAAUCCAAGCUUAUUCGUCCUCCUUCUAUUGAGAUGGAACCAAAACACCUAUGCUUGAGUUGGGCUGAAAAACAUUUCACUCUGCGAUUUUUGGUUAAAUGUGCAUUCUAACCCUAAAAACACCAAUUUGAAAUAAGCCCAAUCAGAGCGUUAUCAUCUUCUUUUUAUGUAGAUGGAAGCCAAAACACCUUUUUGCUUUGGUUGGGGUGAUUCUGGUGCACACCCAAAAAACACCAUGCGAAUUGAAAUAAGCCCAAUCGAAGCUUAUUUGUCUUCUUUCUACGCAUAUGGAAGCGGAAAUAUGGUGUUUUGUUGUAUUGGUCUCAUUACAUACACUUUGUGAUUUCUGGGUCAAUGUGCAUUAAAACCAAAGAACACGACUUUGAAAUAAGCGAAAUCCAAGAGGCCUCUUUCUAUGUAGAUGGAACUCAAAACAACCUGUUUUGCUUUGUUUAGGCUUAUUACACUUCGCUUUGAUAUGUGUGGGUGAAUGAACACCGAAAGUGCAAUCCAAGCUUAUUCGUCCUCCUUCUAUUGAGAUGGAACCAAAACACCUAUGCUUGAAUUGGGCUUAUAACGAACAUUUCACUCUUCGAUUUUUGGGUAAGUGUGCAUUUUAAACCCAAAAACACCAAUUUGAAAUAAGCCCAAUCAGAGCUUUAUUGUCUUCUUUUUAUGUAGAUGGAAGCCAAAAGACCUUUUUGCUUUGGUUGGGGUGAUUCUGGUGCACACCCAAAAAACACCAUGCGAAUUGAAAUAAGCCCAAUCAAAGCUUAUUCUUCUUCUUUCUACGCAUAUGGAAGCGGAAAGAUGGUGUUUUGUUACUUUGGUCUGAUUAAAUACACUUUGCGAUUUCUGGGUAAAUGUGCAUUAACUCCAAAGAAAACGACUUUGAAAUAAGCGAAAUCCAAGAGGCCUCUUUCUAUGUAGAUGGAACUCAAAACAACCUGUUUUGCUUUGUUUAGGCUUAUUACACUUGUUUAGGCUUAUCACUCUGUUAUUUGUGGGUGAAUGAGCACCGAAAGUGCAAUCCAAGCUUAUUCUCCUUCUAUUGAUGUGGAACCAAAACACCUAUGCUUGAGUUGGGCUGAAAAACAUUUCACUCUGCGAUUUUUGGUUGAAUGUGCAUUCUAACCCCAAAAACACCAAUUUGAAAUAAUCCCAAUCAGAGCGUUAUCAUCUUCCUUUUAUGUAGAUGGAAGCCAAAAGACCUUUUUGCUUUGGUUGGGGUGAUUCUGGUGCACACCCAAAAAACACCAUGCGAAUUGAAAUAAGCCCAAUCAAAGCUUAUUCUUCUUCUUUCUAUGCUAUGGAAGCGGAAAUAUAGUGUUUUGUUAUUUUGAUCUGAUUAAAUACACUUUGUGAUUUCUGGGUCAAUGUGCAUUAAAACCAAAGAACACGACUUUGAAAUAAGCGAAAUCCAAGAUGCCUCUUUCUAUGUAGAUGGAACUCAAAACAACCUGUUUUGCUUUGUGUAGGCUUAUUACACUUCGCUUUCUUAUUUGUGGGUGAAUGAACACCGAAAGUGCAAUCCAAGCUUAUACGUCCUCCUUCUAUUGAGAUGGAACCAAAACACCUAUGUUUGAUUUGUGCUGAUAACAAAUUUCCCUCUGCGAUUUUUGGGUCCAUGUGCAUUCUAACCCCAUAAGCACCGAUUUGAAAUAAGCCCAAUCAGAGCGUUAUCAUCUUCCUUUUAUGUAGAUGGAAGCCAAAAGACCUUUUUGCUUUGGUUGGGGUGAUUCUGGUGCACACCCAAAAAACACCAUGCGAAUUGAAAUAAGCCCAAUCAAAGCUUAUUCUUCUUCUUUCUACGCAUAUGGAAGCGGAAAGAUGGUGUUUUGUUAUUUUGGUCUGAUUAAAUACACUUUGCGAUUUCUGGUCAAUGUGCAUUAAAACCAAAGAAGACGACUUUGAAAUAAGCGAAAUCCAAGAUGCCUCUUUCUAUGUAGAUGGAACUCAAAACAACCUGUUUUGCUUUGUUUAGGCUUAUUACACUUCGCUCUGUUAUUUGUGGGUGAAUGAACACCGAAAGUGUAAUCCAAGCUUAUUAGUCCUACUUCUAUUGAGGUGGAACCAAAAGACCUAUGCUUGAAUUGGGCUGAAAAACAUUUCACUCUGAGAUUUUUGGUUGAAUGUGCAUUUUAAACCCAAAAACACCAAUUUGAAAUAAGCCCAAUCAGAGCGUUAUCAUCUUCUUUUUAUGUAGAUGGAUGCCAAAACACCUUUUUGCUUUGGUUGGGGUGAUUCUGGUGCACACCCAAAAAACACCAUGCGAAUUGAAUUAAGCCCAAUCGAAGCUUAUUUGUCUUCUUUCUACGCAUAUGGAAGGGGAAAUAUGGUNNNNNNNNNNNNNNNNNNNNNNNNNNNNNNNNNNNNNNNNNNNNNNNNNNNNNNNNNNNNNNNNNNNNNNNNNNNNNNNNNNNNNNNNNNNNNNNNNNNNAGGAGUGUGGUUACCUUGACCAGGAAAACAGGGACUUGUAGAUAUUUCUUCUGCAUCACUUGAUGGGUGUCUGGUGGUGGGCAAGGGAGAGUUGGGGGCAAACCUGCCAGAAAACCCCUCCCUCUUUGUGACCUAUGUGUGAUGUGUCUGUGAUGUACGCAUGAUGCUUCACCAAAGGUGUUCACAAUGGGCCGCAGGCCAGAUCCAGGCGGCUACUCUUAAGAAAGACCCAACUGUCGGGGAGGGGGUUGUGAAAUCCCCAAAAAGGAUGUUACUUUUUUUCUGUAUGCCACAACAGCUGUGAGAUAUUACUAGCGAAGAAUUGGAAGAAACAAGAUUUGCCAACUAUCGAAGAAUGGCAGAUGAAGAUGAAGGACUGUAUGGAAUUUGCCGAACUGACCGGGAGACUCUGAGACUAGAGAGAAGAGAUGGUGGAAGAAGAUUGGAAGAAGUUUAAGGAAUAUUUGAAAAAAAUAUGUUAAUAUUUAAAUCUUAGAAUAGCUUUGGAAGUGGAUACAGGCUGUAGGGUUAGAAGUAGAAGAUAGUGUGUUUUAAAAUAGUAUUAUUUGUAAAGGAUAAAAUGUGAAGAUUAUUAUGGUAAAAGUAAGGGUGAUUAAAAAAUGGUUAAAAAUAUGAUAUAUGUAAACUGCUAAAGGUGAGGAAAAUGAAAAUCAUAUAGGGGGCACUUGGGGAAGCUCACCUAACAAUGUUUGGAAAAAAUAAGGACAAGACAAGAAUUUGUUUGUAUUGUUUGUUUUUCCGUUUGUGUUGUUUAAUUGUGUUAUAAAAUGAAUUGAAAAAAUUGAAAAAAUAAUAAUAAGAAAGACCCAAGUGUCUCUCCACUGGUGAAGAGUAUUGUUCUUCAGUAUUGCUCCUGAACCCAGAAGGACUCUUGGAUGUGGGGGAAUCGAGGGGCCCUUUGCUCCAGGGUGGCGCCCCACUAGAAGCCACAAGGCAGAGCCCAGCUCUUUAAUCAGAGCCACACCUUUUUAUUUACACUCUUCCAGGUGCAAAGAGCCCCCCCAAAAAAGUCCAGGCUCAGGGCAGCUCAAGUAGGGAGGAGAGGGGCAGGGGGUCAGUCCGUGAGGCUGAGGGAAAGCGCCAGGGGGAGGAAGAAGGCGACCCCCAUGCCAGGCUCACCCGACCUCGAGAGGCCCCNNNNNNNNNNNNNNNNNNNNNNNNNNNNNNNNNNNNNNNNNNNNNNNNNNNNNNNNNNNNNNNNNNNNNNNNNNNNNNNNNNNNNNNNNNNNNNNNNNNNNNNNNNNNNNNNNNNNNNNNNNNNNNNNNNNNNNNNNNNNNNNNNNNNNNNNNNNNNNNNNNNNNNNNNNNNNNNNNNNNNNNNNNNNNNNNNNNNNNNNUACAAACACUUUGCGAUUUCUGGGUAACUGUGCAUUAACACCAAAGAAAACAACUUUGAAAUCAGCGAAAUGCAAGAUUCUUCUUUCUAUGUAGAUGAAACCCAAAAUAACCUGUUUUGUCUUGUUUAGGCUUAUGACACCGCUUUGAUAUGUGUGGGUGAAUGAACACCGAAAGAGCAACUGAAGCUUCGUUGUCCUCUUUCUAUUGAAAUGGAACCAAAGCACCUAUGCUUGAAUUGGGCUUAUAACGCACAUUUCACUCUUCGAUUUUUGGUUGAAUGUGCAUUCAAAACCCCAAAACACCAAUUUGAAAUAAGCCCGAUCACAGCUUUGUCUUCUUUUUAUGUAGAUGGAAGCCAAAAUACCUUUUUGCUUUGGUUGGGGUGAUUCUGGUGCACACCCAAAAAACACCAUGC
rnacentral:lncRNA from 1 species